UACGUAGGGGGCAAGCGUUAUCCGGAUUUACUGGGUGUAAAGGGAGCGUAGACGGCAAUGCAAGUCGGAAGUGAAAUACCCGGGCUCAACCUGGGAACUGCUUUGGAAACUGUAUGGCUGGAGUGCUGGAGAGGUAAGCGGGAUUCCUAGUGUAGCGGUGAAAUGCGUAGAUAUUAGGAGGAACACCAGUGGCGAAGGCGGCUUACUGGACAGUAACUGACGUUGAGGCUCGAAAGCGUGGGGAGCAAACAGG
rnacentral:rRNA from 1 species